GUUCUCACUUCAGUAGCAUAUAUACUAAAAUUGGAAUGAUACAGAUAUUAGCAUGGCCCCUGCACAGGGAUGGCAUGCAAAUUCAUGAAGCAUUCCAUUUAAAA